rnacentral:tRNA from 1 species
GGAGACAUGGCUCAGCAGGUAAGAGCACUGACUUCUUUCAGAGGACCUGAGUUCAUUUCUCAGCAUCUCCA